rnacentral:rRNA from 1 species
CGCAUGUCUUGUUGGGAAAGUGUUUAGUGGCAUGGGAUGGGGUCGCGUCCUAUCAGCUUGUAGGCGGGGUAAUGGCCCACCUAGGCUUCGACGGGUAGCCGGCCUGAGAGGGCGGACGGCCACAUUGGGACUGAGAUACGGCCCAGACUCCUACGGGAGGCAGCAGUGGGGAAUAUUGCGCAAUGGGGGAAACCCUGACGCAGCGACGCCGCGUGCGGGAUGAAGGCCUUCGGGUUGUAAACCGCUUUUGAUUGGGAGCAAGCCUUUUGGGUGAGUGUACCUUUCGAAUAAGCGCCGGCUAACUACGUGCCAGCAGCCGCGGUAAUACGUAGGGCGCAAGCGUUAUCCGGAAUUAUUGGGCGUAAAGAGCUUGUAGGCGGUUCGUCGCGUCUGGUGUGAAAGCCCAUCGCUUAACGGUGGGUUUGCGCCGGGUACGGGCGGGCUAGAGUGCAGUAGGGGAGACUGGAAUUCUCGGUGUAACGGUGGAAUGUGUAGAUAUCGGGAAGAACACCAAUGGCGAAGGCAGGUCUCUGGGCUGUUACUGACGCUGAGAAGCGAAAGCGUGGGGAGCGAACAGGAUUAGAUACCCUGGUAGUCCACGCCGUAAACGGUGGACGCUGGAUGUGGGGCCCAUUCCACGGGUUCUGUGUCGGAGCUAACGCGUUAAGCGUCCCGCCUGGGGAGUACGGCCGCAAGGCUAAAACUCAAAGAAAUUGACGGGGGCCCGCACAAGCGGCGGAGCAUGCGGAUUAAUUCGAUGCAACGCGAAGAACCUUACCUGGGCUUGACAUGUGCCUGACGACUGCAGAGAUGUGGUUUCCUUUCGGGGCAGGUUCACAGGUGGUGCAUGGUCGUCGUCAGCUCGUGUCGUGAGAUGUUGGGUUAAGUCCCGCAACGAGCGCAACCCUCGCCCUGUGUUGCCAGCGGGUUAUGCCGGGAACUCACGGGGGACCGCCGGGGUUAACUCGGAGGAAGGUGGGGAUGACGUCAGAUCAUCAUGCCCCUUACGUCCAGGGCUUCACGCAUGCUACAAUGGCCAGUACAACGGGUUGCUUCAUGGUGACAUGGUGCUAAUCCCUUAAAACUGGUCUCAGUUCGGAUCGUAGUCUGCAACUCGACUACGUGAAGGCGGAGUCGCUAGUAAUCGCGAAUCAGCAACGUCGCG